UCCGUGGUGAUCCAGUGGUUAGGACUCUGCACUUCCAAUGCAGGGGAUGUAGGUUCGAUCCCUGGUCAGGGAA
rnacentral:tRNA from 1 species